UAAAGCUGACAUAAAAACACAUCGCAGUUGGUAGUCUGUGAGUACAACAUGUAUCAGUAACCUUCCCCUUCCGAGGUCGUCCAUUGUCAAUUUUUUUAAG
rfam:Streptococcus sp. HSISB1 chromosome, whole genome shotgun sequence.